rnacentral:rRNA from 1 species
UACGGAAGGCAGCAGUGGGGAAUAUUGCACAAUGGGCGAAAGCCUGAUGCAGCUAUGCCGCGUGUAUGAAGAAGGCCUUAGGGUUGUAAAGUACUUUCAUCGGGGAGGAAAAAACAAACUAAUAAUUUUAUUUCUUGACGUUACCCGAAAAAGAAGCACCGGCUAACUCCGUGCCAGCAGCCGCGGUAAUACGGAGGGUGCUAGCGUUAAUCAGAAUUACUGGGCGUAAAGAGCACGUAGGUGGUUUUUUUAAGUCAGAUGUGAAAUCCCUGGGCUUAACCUAGGAACUGCAUUUUGAAACUGAAAUACUAGAGUAUCGUAGAGGGAGGUAGAAUUCUAGGUGUAGCGGUGAAAUGCGUAGAUAUCUGGAGGAAUACCUGUGGCGAAAGCGGCCUCCUAAACGAAUACUGACACUGAGGUGCGAAAGCGUGGGGAGCAAACAGGGAUUAGAUACC